AACGCAAAUUGCGCUCGAGGCCCCGGCCGAGAGCAUGCCUGCCUCAGCGUCUCUCUCACACUCCCCCUCCAUGAGGGGGGAUCUGGUCGUUUCGGUCGUGGCACCGAAUCGGCUGAAAGGCAGAAGCGGCCCGCCCUCACCGGGGGUGACCGAAAGGUGGCAGCCUGCGGGCCGAGCCGAUCGGCGCCCGAGGGCGAUGGCGCGCUCCAGCGUCCGGAGACACAAGCUGUCGUGUGACCUGAGUUCAGGCAAGGGCACCCGCUGAACUUAA
rnacentral:misc_RNA from 1 species